rnacentral:sRNA from 1 species
CAAGAAACGAAUGGUAAGUCCCUCAAUGGCCUCAAAGUUUAUGGCCAUUAAUAGGAUUUUAGCCUGGAGAGUUUUUAGGGCAGACUUUACUAGUUGCCCAGUAUAAUCAUAGAAAAAGCACAGCAUUCUGAAAGGAGUCACUUUGCUGAUUAUGAACACAACUCAUUUUGCUGCAGUUGUGAAGAAAUUUGAUAUAUAUAUCUUAACGUUGUCAGCAGUUAUUUGAAAUUUGCAAGGAUAUCAUUGAAAUUUAUAAUUACCCAGGUUUCCAAGGAUCUGGCAUUUGUAUUUUUAAGAAUCUAAAGCAGAAUGAAAUAUUUUCAUUGAUUUGUGUUUUCUCUGACUUGGCAUAUAGGUUGGCACAGUUAAUUAUAUGCCACCAGAAGCAAUCAAAGAUAUGUCUUCCUCCAGAGAGAAUGGGAAAUCUAAAUCAAAGAUAAGCCCCAAAAGUGAUGUUUGGUCCUUAGGAUGUAUUUUGUACUAUAUGACUUACGGGAAAACACCAUUUCAGCAGAUAAUUAAUCAGAUUUCUAAAUUGCAUGCCAUAAUUGAUCCUAAUCAUGAAAUUGAAUUUCCCGAUAUUCCAGAGAAAGAUCUUCAAGAUGUGUUAAAGUGUUGUUUAAAAAGGGACCCAAAACAGAGGAUAUCCAUUCCUGAGCUCCUGGCUCAUCCAUAUGUUCAAAUUCAAA